rnacentral:rRNA from 1 species
AUUGAACGCUGGCGGAAUGCUUUACACAUGCAAGUCGAACGGCAGCACGGACUUCGGUCUGGUGGCGAGUGGCGAACGGGUGAGUAAUAUAUCGGAACGUGCCCAGUCGUGGGGGAUAACGUAGUGAAAAUUACGCUAAUACCGCAUACGAUCUACGGAUGAAAGCGGGGGAUCGCAAGACCUCGCGCGAUUGGAGCGGCCGAUAUCCGGUGAGGUAGUUGGUGAGGUAAAGGCUCACCAAGCCGACGAUCUGUAGCUGGUCUGGGAGGACGACCAGCCACACUGGGACUGAGACACGGCCCAGACUCCUACGGGAGGCAGCAGUGGGGAAUUUUGGACAAUGGACGCAAGUCUGAUCCAGCCAUUCCGCGUGCAGGACGAAGGCCUUCGGGUUGUAAACUGCUUUUGUACAGAACGAAAAGGUCUCUACUAAUACUAGGGGCUCAUGACGGUACUGUAAGAAUAAGCACCGGCUAACUACGUGCCAGCCGCCGCAGUAA